UACGUAGGGGGCAAGCGUUGUCCGGAUUUAUUGGGCGUAAAGAGCGUGUAGGCGGCCUGGACAGGUCUGCUGUGAAAACUCGAGGCUCAACCUCGAGAUGUCGGCGGAAACCGUCUGGCUAGAGUCCGGAAGAGGAGAGUGGAAUUCCUGGUGUAGCGGUGAAAUGCGCAGAUAUCAGGAAGACACCUAUGGCGAAGGCAGCUCUCUGGGACGGUACUGACGCUGAGACGCGAAAGCGUGGGGAGCGAACAGG
rnacentral:rRNA from 1 species